rnacentral:rRNA from 1 species
CCCUUAGACGUUCUGGGCCGCACGCGCGCUACACUGAUGAAUUCAACGAGCUCCUAACCUAGGCCGAAGGGUCCGGGUAAUCUUUGAAAUUUCAUCGUGAUGGGGAUAGAUUAUUGCAAUUAUUAAUCUUCAACGAGGAAUUCCUAGUAAGCGCGAGUCAUCAGCUCGCGUUGAUUACGUCCCUGCCCUUUGUACACACCGCCCGUCGCUCCUACCGAUUGAAUGGUCCGGUGAAAUGUUCGGAUCGCGGCAAAUCGGACGGGUAACCGUCAGGUUCGCUGCGAGAAGUUCAUUAAACCUUAUCAUUUAGAGGAAGGAGAAGUCGUANCA